UAGGCCUAACACAUGCAAGUCGAACGAGUGGCGGACGGGUGAGGAAUACAUCGGAAUCUACUCUGUCGUGGGGGAUAACGUAGGGAAACUUACGCUAAUACCGCAUACGAUUGAAUGAGCCGAUGUCGGAUUAGCUAGUUGGCGGGGUAAAGGCCCACCAAGGCGACGAUCCGUAGCUGGUCUGAGAGGAUGAUCAGCCACACUGGAACUGAGACACGGUCCAGACUCCUACGGGAGGCAGCAGUGGGGAAUAUUGGACAAUGGGCGCAAGCCUGAUCCAGCCAUACCGCGUGGGUGAAGAAGGCCUUCGGGUUGUAAAGCCCUUUUGUUGGGAAAGCGGUACCCAAAGAAUAAGCACCGGCUAACUUCGUGCCAGCAGCCGCGGUAAUACGAAGGGUGCAAGCGUUACUCGGAAUUACUGGGCGUAAAGCGUGCGUAGGUGGUCGUUUAAGUCCGUUGUGAAAGCCCUGGGCUCAACCUGGGAACUGCAGUGGAUACUGGGCGACUAGAAUGUGGUAGAGGGUAGCGGAAUUCCUGGUGUAGCAGUGAAAUGCGUAGAGAUC
rnacentral:rRNA from 1 species